GCCCAUGUAGCUCAGCGGUAGAGCACCCGGCUGUUAACCGGGUGGUCGAAGGUUCGAUCCCUUCCGUGGGCG
rnacentral:tRNA from 1 species